AGUUGAAAACUUAUGUCUAUACAAAAACCUUCAUGUGGACGUUUAUAGAAGCUUUAUUCAUGAUUGCCAAAACUUGGAAACAACCAACAUGUCCUUCAAUAGGUGAAUGGAUAAAUACACUGUGAUACACUCAGACAAUGAAACAUUGUUCAGUGCUAAAAGGAACUGAGCUUUCAAGCUAUGAAAAGACAGAACUAUGAGGCACCAGAACUAUCACCUGGUGUGGGGCAGAGGAUGAAUCAACCAGUCGAGGUUCCACCAUUGCCACUCCAACUCAGCAAGGAUCAGCCCCACUGUUGUCAGCAGGUAUGGGUGAGUUCAUAACAGCUCUGCAAGUGUGAGAGGCAUCUUAACACACUGGUAAGUGGCAGAAAUUCCAAGGUUGGGAAUGGGGAGG
rnacentral:lncRNA from 1 species